GACGAACGCUGGCGGCGUGCUUAACACAUGCAAGUCGAACGGAAAGGCCCUGCUUUUGUGGGGUGCUCGAGUGGCGAACGGGUGAGUAACACGUGAGUAACCUGCCCUUGACUUUGGGAUAACUUCAGGAAACUGGGGCUAAUACCGGAUAGGAGCUCCUGCUGCAUGGUGGGGGUUGGAAAGUUUCGGCGGUUGGGGUUGGACUCGCGGCUUAUCAGCUUGUUGGUGGGGGAGUGGCUUACCAAGGCUUUGACGGGUAGCCGGCCUGAGAGGGUGAACGGCCACAUUGGGACUGAGAUACGGCCCAGACUCCUACGGGAGGCAGAAGUGGGGAAUAUUGCACAAUGGGCGGAAGCCUGAUGCAGCAACGCCGCGUGCGGGAUGACGGCCUUCGGGUUGUAAACCGCUUUCGCCUGUGACGAAGCGUGAGUGACGGUAAUGGGUAAAGAAGCACCGGCUAACUACGUG
rnacentral:rRNA from 1 species